rnacentral:rRNA from 1 species
UACGUAGGGGGCAAGCGUUGUCCGGAAUCAUUGGGCGUAAAGAGCGUGUAGGCGGCUCGAUAAGUCUGCUGUGAAAGUCCAGGGCUCAACCCUGGAAGGCCGGUGGAAACUGUCGGGCUAGAGUCCGGAAGAGGCGAGUGGAAUUCCCGGUGUAGCGGUGAAAUGCGCAGAUAUCGGGAGGAACACCAAUGGCGAAGGCAGCUCGCUGGGACGGUACUGACGCUGAGACGCGAAAGCGUGGGGAGCAAACAG